CUCUUUGAAAAUCUCUCCCUUUCUCAGUUCGCGCUCCGGCCCUCACAUGUGCGACAGGGGGAGUGUGCCGUUAAUGGCCGUGCCGGGCACCGGGCCGCUCUGGUAGUGCUGGGCCAUGUGCAGUCUACUGGGAGCAGCGGGCUCCGGCACCUCGGCGCCGGGGAGGUACAUGCUGAUCAUGUCCCGGAGGUCCCCGGCCUGGCAGGGCGCCCUGGAGUGGGAGGAAGAGGUAACCACGGGGGGGCUGGAGCUGGCCUCGGACUUGACCACCGAGCCCAUGGAACCCAGCGCCAUACCGGGGGUGCCCUGCUGCGAGUAGGACAUGCUGUAGGUGGGCGAGCCGUUCAUGUAGGUCUGAGAGCUGGUCAUGGAGUUGUACUGCAGGGCGCUGACGUCGUAGCGGUGCAUGGGCUGCAUCUGCGCCGCGCCGUGCGCGUUGAGGCCCGGGUGUUGCGGGUAGCCCAGCUGCUCCUGCAUCAUGCUGUAGCUGCCAUUGCUCCAGCCGUUCAUGUGCGCGUAGCUGUCCAUGCGCUGGUUCACACCAGCGCCCAGGCCGGCGCCCACCCCAACCCCGCUCGCCAUGCUGUUCCCGCCCGGGGCCAGCAGCCCUCCGGGAAGCGUGUACUUAUCCUUCUUCAUGAGCGUCUUGGUUUUCCGCCGCGGCCGGUAUUUAUAAUCCGGGUGCUCCUUCAUGUGCAGAGCGCGCAGCCGCUUGGCCUCGUCGAUGAACGGCCGCUUCUCGGUCUCCGACAAAAGUUUCCACUCGGCGCCAAGGCGCUUGCUGAUCUCCGAGUUGUGCAUCUUGGGGUUCUCCUGGGCCAUCUUACGCCGCUGCCCCCGGGACCACACCAUGAAGGCGUUCAUGGGCCUCUUGACGCGGUCCGGGCUGUUCUUCUGGUUGCCGCCGGUCGGUGCCGCCGUGGCGUUGCCUCCUCCGCCGCCGCCCCCCGAAGCUUGCUGCGGGCCCGGCGGCUUCAGCUCCGUCUCCAUCAUGUUAUACAUGCGGGCGCUGGGCGCGGGCGCGGCCCGCCGGCGGCCGCCGACCCUCGGCCCGGCCGGGACUGCGGGGGCCGCGCGCGGGGGCCGGGCUGCAGGGGCCGCGGGCGGGGGUGUCGGCGUGCACGGCCUG
rnacentral:lncRNA from 1 species